rnacentral:rRNA from 1 species
UACGUAGGGUGCAAGCGUUGUCCGGAAUUAUUGGGCGUAAAGAGCUUGUAGGCGGUUUGUCGCGUCUGCUGUGAAAUUUCGGGGCUCAACCCCGAACUUGCAGUGGGUACGGGCAGACUAGAGUGUGGUAGGGGAGACUGGAAUUCCUGGUGUAGCGGUGAAAUGCGUAGAUAUCGAGAGGAACACCUGCGGCGAAGGCGGGUUGCUGGGCUGACACUGACGCUGAUGCGCGAAAGCUAGGGGAGCGAACGGG